UACCGUUCAAUGCAUUGAAGAAAUGGAAUAUAAGAAUUCUACGUCCAGUGAUCGACAUUGUCAGAACCAUGGACUUCCCUCCAGUCCUCUACACUUUAUUGUAACGAAGAAAAUACACAUGAUUUCUUUAUUUGUUCUUUAUUAUAGCCCUCAUCCUCUGAACAUCGGAAAAACAGAUUCAAGUUGUCCCCUUCAGUUUUGACUAUGCUGGUCUGGAUGCAAGGUUUUUUAAUAUGACCUGUAUCCUGUCCCUGUACCUCUAUGCAUAGUAUUUCCUUAUCAUAUAUGAGCAGAUUUGAGCACGGUUCCAAGUAUGUUUAUCCAUCACAGCAUAUAACUUAAACUUCUGACUGCGAAUGUGCAUUAGGAGCGAUGUCAAGUUCAGUGAAUUAAAUCAAAAGUACGGUAGCGCAUGAAAAAUUCCAAACUUAUGUAACAUGAAAAGCUGAGGAUAACAAAGAGCAAG